rnacentral:lncRNA from 1 species
AACUCUCUAAAAACUCUUAAAACAUACUUUAACCAUAAGGGGAGGUGAGGAUCCAUGCUUACCUCUUGAAGAACUAGAGGAUUGAUGGUCCAAGCUUGGAGAUGGGUGUAAAACUCAAUCAAAGUCUCCAAGUGCUCACUUCGCUUCCUUUUGCUUAAAACUCUAAAACAAAGCUCAAAACAUGUUAAAACAUGCAAGAUUUGAGGAAAACAUGAAAAAUCCUGUAAUCCCAAAGCGACAAACUCCUCUGUGCGCUUUACCGCACCUACUGCAUACUGGAACCUCUGAACCUGAACUCAUGCCACUGCCCAAUCCCAGACCUGCUUUAAUCUUAUUCCAGAACUUAUUCUUCCUCGACUUCUGAGUGGAACCACUCCACUUCUUCCCACUGGAAGCUGCUGCACCCUGUGAAGAGGGAUCUGAUUUCCCCUUGCCUGGGGUCUUAGGACCUGAGGACUGUGCCGUCUGCUGUUUCACUGUACCCUGUAUAAUGGCACUAGCCUCCAUCCUUCGUGCUAAAUCCACCACGGUGUGGAAACUCUCCCUCUCGGCUGCAUGGAUCAAGGAGGAAUACCUGGAAUGAAGUUUCAUAACAUACCUCCUGGCCUUUUUCUGUUCAGUAUCAUAGGCUUGUCCUGCAUACCGCAGCAACUCUAGAAACCUGUUAGUAAACUCAUCUAUACUCAUAUCCUCUGUCUGCUUAAGCUGCUCAAACUCUCUCUCGAGCUAUCUGGAAACGCCCAACCGGCAAACUCGUUUGCAAACUCCUCCCAUGACAUGUUAUCCACUCUAGGGUCCACAUAAUCACUAAACCAUUCCUUUGCCUUCUUGCAUUUUAAAGUGAACCCUGCCAUCUGAAUGGCUCUGGUAUCAUCUGCCCCUAGCUCAUCUGCUAUCAUCUUUACUGCUUUAAUGUACUCAAACGGAUCAUCUCCAGUUUGGUACUUAGGAGCAUCUAGCUUUAGGUAGUCAGUCAUCUUUACCCUGCUCCUCUCAGAUGGGCCAGGUUGAGGUGUUAGGAUAACUGGGGCUUCUGGUUCUACCACUGGUGGUGGUGGUGGAGGUGGUGCAGAACUCUCUGGUAUAGGGUGUGCUGGACUGGGGUAAAAAGGUGAGGGUGGAUACAUGGGAUAUGGUGGAUAUGGUGGGUAAUAAGGUGGAUAAGGCAUAUAUGUGGGAUAUGGGUGAAAACUAGGAUACUCCGAUGUGCCUCCCAUCGAAUAUCCUGGGCCCUGUGGGUAGGGCUGAUAGUGGGGUGGAUAACCAUACCCCGAGGCCUGACCGCCUCCCUGUGAUGAUCCCACAUCCUCCUCUGUAGUGCCAACACCUAACCCUCCAUCCCUUCUUGAAUCCACAUCCAUCUCUUCCCUUGUAUCACUAGAUCUUCUUCUCUGUUCUGUUUCCCUCCUGCCUUCAUCAAAAGACCUUCGAGGGUCCCUUGAUGAUCUUUCUCUGCCUGCCCUUUGGGACAUAGCUCUUGGUAAAGCAGGGGAUGCCCUUCCAUGCCCUCAUUCUCGGGCAGAGCUCCAGUCAAUCUAGCGGAUCGACGGGUUCCUCUCAUCUUAGCUUCUGAAAACAUAACAUAAACUUAAACUUUAGCAUCACAUGAUCCACGUAAAAACACGAACCCGCAACUCAUAGCAUAACAUAUCAUAAAAAUGCACAUGCAUAAGAUCAUGGCAUUACACAUCAUCAAGACAGGACUCAACAUCCUAUCCUAGUGGACAUGAUCUUUCCUAUUGUGCUUGCCCUCUAAAACAACCUCUUUCCGAUGUGAGAUAUCUCUAAUCCCUGAGCAUCUUAGCUCAGCACACCGUACUCUAGAGGCCCUAGGCUCUGAUACCAAUCUGUAACAGCCCGCUUAUCGGACCGCCACUGGCACUAGGAUCCAGAUCGACUUAAGACCGCCGGGACCCGUAGUAAGCCUAUUGUAAACUCUGUGUAUCUGAUAAAGCCCAUACAUGAUCAUACUUAAGCUUAAAACUCUUACUCUCUUCUUAUUUUCUUUUUUUUUUCUUUUUGCUUUUCUAAUCUUGUCUACACUAAGCUUGGACUAUGCAUGCCCUGUCUGUAUGCACUCAGAGAGUGAUACCUGCUGUGGUACCAUACAGUAACUACAGAGAUAGCAACCCCUCACUAGAGUCCUCAUCAAUGCUCUAGAUGGGUUAUACUACCAUGCUCCAAGCCUAGCUCUCAUCAUAAUGACAUCCUCUCAUCCAUAAACUCAAACAUAAAACAUAGACAUAAAAUGAUCAUGUGCAAAGGGAUAAACAUACACUAGGGCCAAGCACAGUUCUAUAACUCAGUACAUAACUUGCUAUUACAUCAUUUCUAUAUAUAUUACAUAAACUCUGUACUGUACAUCAUGUCCACUUUCUAUGCUAUUACAUAUGCUUUUACCCUUGCUUUCUCUUUCUCUUUCUCUUCUCUGAGGCCCUGAAAACAUGGGGUUAGGGAGAGGGAUGAGCUACUAGAGCCCAGUGAGCGGAAACCAUAAACACAUUUAAAACAUGCUAUCAUGACAUGCGUCACAGCACAAACAUUUCACAACUCGGAUUGGACAUGACCCCAAAACUCCCUCUGUCGGUGCCCAGCCCCCAAAGGAGCUCACACAGGUCUUUCACUAAUCUACUCAUGGUGCCCGACCCUAGAAGGGCUCUCACAGGACUUAUCCAAGUAAAAUGCCCGGCCCCAAAGGAGCUCUCACAGGACUCACAAUAAUGACAGAAUUAUGGGCUAUUGGAGUCGCCUCGGUCCAAUCCACAUAGACAAAUAAUAAUGCAAUGCAUCAUCUUCGUGUAUACUCGUGCAAUGCAAAGCCUCCUACAUAUCAUGGCAUUAAUGAUGCGUGAAUCAUGCUAAAACAUUCUUUAACUUAAAAACAAAGUUCUGUUCCACUCACCUCUGUCAACUGCUAAGCAGUCUCUGUAACUCUAACUCUGUGGGCCUUCUGGGUUCCUCGAGUCCGCACCUACACAGGUGGACUCAAAUGAGGACCAAACUCACUUAUACACAACGCUGAAUAUCUCCCCAAAACUCCUCUAAAACAUCAUAAGCAUGCAUGGAAAAAUGGGCAAACGAAGGCUGGACAGGGCACCUUCGGCGGCACUUUCGGCGGCCGAAGGUCUCGUCCAGAGACGAAACUCACACACUUUCGGCGGCCGAACUUCCUCUUUCGGCGGCCGAAAGUCCUUUUCUAAACCGAAAGCCUAGCUUUCGGGGGCAGGCUUUGGCAGUCGAAACUGCCUCCACAAGGGGUUCGGCGGCCGAACCUUGCUUCGGCAGCCGAACCUGGAUUCUCCAGAAAGGCAGAAUCCGAGCACAACUCAUGCUCUCAGCCUCCAAAAACCUAUAAAACACCCAUAACAUGCAUACCAACACUUUUUAACUAGCACAUAACAUAUCUCAUGCAUAUAGGGGCCUAUAAACUAGCUCAAAGCCCAUAAGAAACUUCAAAACUCAUCAAAGCUCAUAUGAUCAACAUAUGCUCAAACUCAUGGUUACACCCCAAAACAUGCUAUAAAACUCUCUAAAAACUCUUAAAACAUACUUUAACCAUAAGGGGAGGUGAGGAUCCAUGCUUACCUCUUGAAGAACUAGAGGAUUGAUGGUCCAAGCUUGGAGAUGGGUGUAAAACUCAAUCAAAGUCUCCAAGUGCUCACUUUGCUUCCUUUUGCUCAAAACUCUAAAACAAAGCUCAAAACAUGUUAAAACAUGCAAGAUUUGAGGAAAAC